rnacentral:rRNA from 1 species
UUACAGAAUGAAAGUGCUUAACUGCAUUUUUUCUUACACAUGUGUUUUUCUUUUUUUGAAAACUUUGCUUUGGUAGGCCUUCUAUAUGGGGCCUGCCAGAGAUUAAACUCAACCAAAUUUUAUUUAAUGUCAACCGAUUAUUUAAUAGUCAAAACUUUCAACAACGGAUCUCUUGGUUCUCGCAUCGAUGAAGAACGCAGCGAAAUGCGAUAAGUAAUAUGAAUUGCAGAUAUUCGUGAAUCAUCGAAUCUUUGAACGCACAUUGCGCCCUUUGGUAUUCCAAAGGGCAUGCCUGUUUGAGCGUCAUUUCUCCCUCAAACCCUCGGGUUUGGUGUUGAGCGAUACGCUGGGUUUGCUUGAAAGAAAGGCGGAGUAUAAACUAAUGGAUAGGUUUUUUCCACUCAUUGGUACAAACUCCAAAACUUCUUCCAAAUUCGACCUCAAAUCAGGUAGGACUACCCGCUGAACUUAAGCAUAUCAAUAAGCGGAGGA